GACGAACGCUGGCGGCGUGCUUAACACAUGCAAGUCGAACGAAGUGGCGAACGGGUGAGUAACGCGUAAUCAACCUGCCCUUCAGAGGGGGAUAACAGUUGGAAACGACUGCUAAUACCGCAUACUGCAGGACGGGAUUGCGUCUGAUUAGCUAGUUGGAGGGGUACCGGCCCACCAAGGCGAUGAUCAGUAGCCGGUCUGGGGGGUGGAACGGCCACAUGGGGACUUGGACACGGCCCAGACUCCGUCGGGAGGGAGCAGUGGGGAAUCUUCCGCAAUGGACGAAAGUCUGACGGAGCAACGCCGCGUGAGUGAUGACGGCAUUCGGGUUGUAAAGCUCUGUUAAUCGGGACGAGGUACAGGAAUAGAAAGCCACGGCUAACUACGUGCCAGCAGCCGCGGUAAUUC
rnacentral:rRNA from 1 species